rnacentral:rRNA from 1 species
UGAGGGAAUAUUGGGUCAAUGGGCGAGAGCCUGAACCAGCCAAGUAGCGUGAAGGAUGAAGGUUCUAUGGAUUGUAAACUUCUUUUAUAAGGGAAUAACAGAUGCUACGUGUAGCGUUUUGCAUGUACCUUAUGAAUAAGCAUCGGCUAACUCCGUGCCAGCAGCCGCGGUAAUACGGAGGAUGCGAGCGUUAUCCGGAUUUAUUGGGUUUAAAGGGAGCGUAGACGGGAUGUUAAGUCAGCUGUGAAAGUUUGGGGCUCAACCUUAAAAUUGCAGUUGAAACUGGCAUUCUUGAGUGCGGCAGAGGCAGGCGGAAUUCGUGGUGUAGCGGUGAAAUGCUUAGAUAUCACGAAGAACUCCGAUUGCGAAGGCAGCUUGCUGGAGCGUAACUGACGUUGAUGCUCGAAAGUGUGGGUAUCAAACAGGAUUAGAUACCCUGGUAGU